AGGUUAAGGGAUUAAGGGCGCACGGGGGAUGCCUUGGCACCUACGGCCGAUGAAGGGCGCGGCAAGCUGCGAAAAGCUUCGGGGAGGCGCAAGCAGCCAUAGAUCCGGAGAUGCCCGAAUGGGGAAACCCGGCUGGUAGAAGACCAGUCAUCCGCCAGUUGGCGGGGGGAACCCGGCGAAGUGAAACAUCU
rnacentral:rRNA from 1 species